ACAGAGGUCUCAAGCGUUGUUCGGAUUCAUUGGGCGUAAAGGGUGCGUAGGUGGCGCUGUAAGUCAGGUGUGAAAUUUCGGAGCUCAACUUCGAAACUGCAUUCGAUACUGCCGUGCUUGAGGACUGGAGAGGAGACUGGAAUUUACGGUGUAGCGGUGAAAUGCGUAGAUAUCAAGAGGAACACCUGAGGCGAAGGCGGGUUGCUUGUCUGACACUGACGCUGAGGCGCGAAAGCCAGGGGAGCAAACGGGA
rnacentral:rRNA from 1 species